CAAAUUGACAUUUUCUGUCAUCAGUAAUUUAAUUUAAUUAUCGAUGCAUAAGUAUUAAAAAGGUGAAUCGAUUAACAUAUUUUUUGCCAAAAUGACACUCGUUUGCUCGUGUAAAGAAAGGGCCCCGCCUAUAGAAGAUUGGCUGCAAAUUGAUGGUUGCACAGUAUUAUAUUCUGGUAACAUUUUAUAUUCUGGUAUUUUAAUUCUUUCCAUUCAAACUUACUUUACGAUUUAAAAGUUUGCAUUAGCUUGGCAUCCACAUUCCGCUGUGUUUAUAUCACCGUUUUUCUUAUUGUUUUUAAAGGGAGUAAAGAAAGUUGUGCAGCAAUUGAUAGUGCCACAGAUGAGUUGUCGCAACAAGAUGAUGAUGAGUUUGGUGAGGAGGAUUACGAAGAAGAGGAAAGCGUGGUUCCUCAACCACGACUUAUACUUAUGAAAACAGUAAAAACACCACCAAAUCUACAAAAGUCUAAAAAGAGGAACGCGAGUAAAAGGGUGGCAGAAAGUUCAAAGUAAGUUGCAGUUUAUUCCCUACGCUUUCCUUAUCGUUAUUACUAGUUUCGAUCACAUUUAGGCAGGUUUAAAUUAAAAUCAAGGAAUUUUCCAAUUCUUUAAUUUUAUACUAAUAAAUUCUACAUAUCAAAAAGAUCAAACGUCGGGGGAGCCGCUGCUUCACUUGAGAACAUUUGCAACACUCCAGCCACAACAACAGUGACAACGAUGUAUCCCCAUACCGUGGCACAAACAUAAAUCGUAAGUAAACUCAUGCUAUAACAG